AUUUUGUCAAAUAUAAUUUCAGCAGAAUCACUGUAUAUUCAAAAUAUGUUUAUGUUGCAGGCCUCUUCAUUAAGCCAUUUCCUAUGAUAAAAUCCUAGCAAAACACAAAAGCUGGGAUCUUGAAGAGAUUCUUUUCCAUUAUAGGUUAUUACAAGAUAUUGACUCUAGUUCCCUGUGCUAUACAAUAUGUGCCCAGGAGUGGGAUUGCUGGAUCAUAUGGUAGCUUUAUUUUUAGUUUUUUUAAGGAACUCUCCAUACCGUUCUCCACAGUGGUUGCUAGAUGCUUUUUUUUUUUUUAAUAUUUGUUUAUUUAGGCUGCACCAGCUCUUAGUUGCAGCACAUGGGAUCUUUGUUGUGACAUGUUUAGUUGUGGCAUGUGGGCUCUUAGUUGUGGCAUAUGGACUCCUUAGUUGCGGCAUGCGGACUCCCUAGUUGUGGCAUGCAUGUGGGAUCUAGUUCCCUGAUCAGGGAUCAAACCCAGGCCCCCUGCAUUGGGAGCAUGGAGUCUUACCCACUGGACCACCAGGGAAGUCCCUAGGUGAUUUUUUAAGUGUGGUCUUCAGACCAGCAGCAUCACCAUCCGUGUACCCUGGGAGCUCACUGGAAAUGCAGGCCCCACCCCAGGCCUACGGCAUCAAGUUACCAGGUAAUUUGUGUGCAUGUUAAAUUUGAGAAGCACCUGUGUAGGCAGUUAUUUUUAGUAGAACUUUCUACUGUUGGAAAAGUAGGAAUUACAAAAACCAAGGAAGGAAAGGGUGUCAGAUGUUUCCUGCACAACAGAAGGAAAUGUUGAAGAAAAUUUCCAAAUCCGGUUUGCCUGCUUACUUCCUGUCAUGAAUUUGCUCCCUUUCCUGCCUGGAAGUAGCUCUUCAAUUAUGCUUUCUCCCAAGUGUCCUCGGAGAACAGGGAGUGGUGGUGGGAGUCUAUCAUCAUCUGAAACAUGUAGAUUUCUGACCUCUCUCUCAAGAUUGUUGUGAGAACAAAUAAGAUGAUUCUGCAACUUUUUGUGAACUGUGAGUUCUAGAAAUACAUGGUUUUAGUAACGAUUGAAUUUUAUGUCAGCCUUUUACCUAGUUGUGAAGCUGGAACUCUGUGCAUUUUGUUUCAGGGUCAGGAGUAGUGUGCUCUGAGUUGUGUUUCAUUUGCAGAACCUUAGGCCUGAGGACCGAGAAACCUUGAGCAUCAUAUACUUAAUUCUAAAUCCUCUCUCUGGUCGCUACACACAACUCAGGAUUUUAAACUCUCCCAUCUGUUAGUACAUCAUAUUGAUGAAGUUUGUACUGUUUCACCUGGGCUGGGUGUGGCAGACAUUCAGUGCCACAGAGCAGGGAUGAUCAUCUCCAAUCUCCAGUUUGCGCUGCUUUGUUUCAUCCAGCCCACUGUGAUUGUUAGUGAAGAUCAAUAGUAGUGUUUUGUGAGUAUCAAUAAGGGAGUUUUCUACAACAAAUUGCAGGCUUUGCAAGCUGCAUGGGAAUAUCUAUUCCUUAGUACCACUCAGAGGUGACCCUGAAGGAGCAGGUAGUGCUUUCCCAGAGGUAAGUUGUGAUGUGGUGGUAGGAGCGGGCAAUGUGUUCAUUCGGGAAGAUCUAUUGGUAGCGGGCAGGUGCGUGGGACUCAGCAGCAGGCCGUGGGGGUCUGCAGACUCAGCAGGACCAUGUCACAAGGCACUGCCUGUGCACCACCCGCCUGGGUGUCCCCUGGAACUUCAAGAGGAGUCAAGCUCUAAUCCUUCCCCGUGGCAGCCCUUCCCCAGCUCCAGGAUCAGGGAAGCUGAGAGUGAAAGAUUACCGAUCUGUCAUGGCCGCCUCCUGUCGUCAGAAUCACUGUGACUAAUUUGAACAAAGGACCUUCCUGCAGCCUCUCAGGCUACAACGCAGCGAGAAUGACUGAACUGCGGCUAUCUGCAUCAACAUGGAUUCCUUGUGGAAUACUGAACAAAAUAGACUUAUACUGAUUAUACUCUUACACUAUUUACCUGCUGACUCUCCCGAAGCUGACUGAUCUCCAGUCUCUGAUCAGGGAAUUUUAGGUUUCAGCAGCCCACCAGGUCUGAAAUCAAGGCGCUGGUAAUGCCAGGUAAGUUUCUCCCAGCAUUCACAGAGGAUGGUGUGAUUCUGUCCUCAGGCCCCUAUCACAUCCUGCUCACAU